UUUAACCCUCACACCAGACACCAAAUUUGCUCAUAUCUUGUUCUUGGACUUCCCAGCCUCCAGAACUAUGAGAAAUAAAUUUGUUGUUUAUAAUUCACCCCCUUUAUGUUAUUUUGUUAUUGCAACACAAACAGACUAAGACACUUGCACAUAGGUAGAUUGGAAGUUUUAUAAGGCCUGUUUUUCAAUGUUUAACUGGGUGGAUGGCAUAAUUACCACAAACACAGAUGUGUUACGGUAAAACAAACAUAUUGUACACAGAGCAUAGCAAAUACAGUCAGAUCAGAUUUCCUGAAACUAUAGGCCAUCAUAGGCAGGUAGAUGCAUUGUUUCUGUUUUCUUUUUUAAGUUUUCUAAAGUAGUAUAAUCAUUCUUCCCUCUCUAAUCUCUCAGAAAGUGGAAUUACAGUUGUUGACCUGGUUAUCAUAGGCUGGGAUCAAAUAUGGCAAUGGAUAAGAAGAAAGAUAAGUUAGGAUUAUUUUUGAAAAGUUGUCAAGAAUUUUAGUAUCUUGAUGAUAAUAUGCCUCAAAGUCAUGAUGAUUAGAAGAUAUCUUUAUUAAAGCUGUUUCUCUCUUUGAAGGAUGUCACUAGUAAUAGGCAACUGUUAAAAGAAAUUGACUCAGAUCUUGAAACUGAGGCCAUAUGAGCAGGUCACAUUCAUUUACAAUGUUAAGGUGAUAAUAUUCAUGUAGUUUAAAAAGUCAUGAUAUAUAAAGUCAGAAAAUUUGGAAAACUCAACUUUACAUCUGUGACUCAGUCACUGGGACGACUCUCCUGCUCAGGCUUAAGUCUGCUAAUAUGUAAAAUUGUAUCAUUCCAUCCAGCUCUUGAGUCCUGCCUCCAUUAUAUUGUCUUACAAUAGCAAGUUUUCUGGGUGAUGGAUAAGAGACUUUUGUAAGCAUCAGCACUGACAACACACAUUUGAAAACUCAUUUCCAUCAUUUUUCCCCUUACCAUCCUAACUCAAGUUUAUGCUCCUAACCCAAAAUCUAAAGACUCCAAAUUAAGAAUGUUCACAUUUGUGAUUGGCUUGAAAUUAUAGCCUGUUUAAACCAUGAAUAAAAAGAAAAGCAGAACUUGUUCAAAUAUUGAGCUAGUUUUAAAUGGCUUCAACUGAGAGAUGACACUUGGGAAAUCACCUUUUCAUUAUAGCCAUAGAGUUCUCAUGUCAUACCUCAUUUGAACCCUUUACUGUAGCAUCUGAACUAUGCUAGGCAAAGAGAAUUUUAUGUCUAGUAUUGUGGGAUAUUAUUGUUAUUUUUUUAAAUGCCCUAAAAAUGUUGAAUCAAAUUCAGAACUAUUUUUGAGUAUAAUAGAAAUUCAAGAAAUGAAAAUAAGACACAAAAAACCCAGCAUGGUUGUUAGGGAAGCCGAAAAGAAUGAUAGAGGUAUGCUGUGGUAGACGAAGGGUCACAUGGAGGGAAACAAGCUGUGCAGUUGCUAAUGGGGUCAGGUUGAGAUUGGCAUAAGAAAUCCAGUUUUUAUCUUUGAGAGUGCCAAUGAUGCCAAAUUCCCUUUUUUUCUUCACGAGUUUAUAACCUUCUAAAAAUAAUUCUUUGUAGCUCAAGGUUCAGAAAGCUUAAUUUGCAUUAAUACAUGAUGUGCUGUGAAUGUGAAUAUCAGGGCUUUUUAUCUGUGCCUCAGAGAGAAGCAUAGACAAUAACCAAACCUUGUAACUCUUUCAAAAGACAGACAGGUAGGGCGUUCAUUUUCAUUCUCUUUUGCUGCAGUGGGAGGGUGGAGAAGGCUGAGGCAUAACAUGGUUAUUACUUUGCUGCUUAGGAAGAUAACCAACAGGGUACCCAAGGAGGGCAGCAUAUUUUGGAAAGCAUGUUAUUCAGCUUAGGCUGACCAAUGCUGGAUGAUUUAAGCUUUAUCUGGCUCUGAGUUUGGUGAGGUCUUCCGUGGCGGCACUUGUUUCACAAGCAGCAGGCAGAACUCAGGAGAUUAGAGACUCCCAGCUCUCAGCCCAACUUGCAUACUCUUAACCCCGGGGAAACAGAUCAUGUCAUUCUUGUGCGUUUAUCUCACUGGUGACCUCUUCCAGCUUCCACAGAUAAUGUGACCUUUCUUACAUGAGUAAAUAGAAGUUGGGGAUUUUACCCAAAACAAGCCCUCAGAAUAAAAGGUACAGAUGUAUACUCAAGUUCUUUAUUUUUAUUUUUUUCUUUUUAUUUGAGAGAGAUGGGUUCUCACUGGGUUGCUCAGGCUGGAGGGCAGUGGCUGUUCACAGGCACGAUCCUGCUACUGAUCAGCACAUGAGUUUUGGCGGGCUCUGUUUCUGACCUGCACCAGUUCACCCCUCAUUAGGCAACCUGGCGGUCCUCUGCUCUUGAGAGGUCACCAUAUUAAUAGCAAACUUAGUGUGGGCAUCCAAUUAGCAAAGAGUACUAUAGCCCAGAGCUCCUGGGAUCAAGUGAUCCCCCUGUCUCAGCCUGCAAAGUAGCAGCUGUGACUACAGAUGCACCUCUAUAAAGCAUCUUCACAUACCGCACACUCUUAUAGUCACUUUAUUUUGAAUAACCAAGAAUCCUGUUUGGAGAAAACAGUUUCGUUUAAUAUAUCCUUCUUUGAUCCUGGUUUUGAAUACCUAUGGAGGUCACAUGAAAAGAGUUUUCUUUUGAAAAAGGCAAAGAAAUGUAAUAGGGUGUUUGAUGUCAUUAGGUACAGGCUUUGUGACCUUCAAAAGCAAUAGAGCAGUGCUUAUGUUGUGGAGAUCACCCAUAAACACAUACAGGAUGAAUAAACAAGUCACAUAUCCUGAUGUUUUAUAAAUGAAUGCUUGAGGCUCACAUUUAAAAUAUU